AAACUCAAAGGAAUUGACGGGGGCCCGCACAAGCGGUGGAGCAUGUGGUUUAAUUCGAUGCAACGCGAAGAACCUUACCUGGUCUUGACAUAUCUAGAAUCCUGCAGAGAUGCGGGAGUGCCUUCGGGAAUUAGAAUACAGGUGCUGCAUGGCUGUCGUCAGCUCGUGUCGUGAGAUGUUGGGUUAAGUCCCGCAACGAGCGCAACCCUUGUCCUUAGUUACCAGCGGUUUGGCCGGGAACUCUAAGGAUACUGCCAGUGACAAACUGGAGGAAGGCGGGGACGACGUCAAGUCAUCAUGGCCCUUACGACCAGGGCUACACACGUGCUACAAUGGUAGGUACAGAGGGCAGCUACACAGCGAUGUGAUGCGAAUCUCAAAAAGCCUAUCGUAGUCCAGAUUGGAGUCUGCAACUCGACUCCAUGAAGUAGGAAUCGCUAGUAAUCGCGGAUCAGAAUGCCGCGGUGAAUACGUUCCCGGGCCUUGUACACACCGCCCGUCACACCAUGGGAGUUGAUUGCACCAGAAGUGGUUAGCCUAACCUUUUAGGAAGGCGAUCACCACGGUGUGGUUGAUGACUGGGGUGAAGUCGUAACAAGGUAACCGUA
rnacentral:rRNA from 1 species